UUAAAGUGUUCUAUUGUGUC
rnacentral:siRNA from 1 species